rnacentral:tRNA from 1 species
ACUUUUAAUGGACAAAAGUGUUCCAA